GCAUCGGUGGCUGAGUGGUAGAAUGCUCACCUGCCAUGCGAGUGGCCCGGGUUCGAUUCCCGGCCGAUGCA